rnacentral:rRNA from 1 species
AGUGAACGCUGGCGGUAGGCCUAACACAUGCAAGUCGAACGGCAGCACAGUAAUAGCUUGCUCUUACGGGUGGCGAGUGGCGGGCGGGUGAGGAAUACAUCGGAAUCUACUUUUUCGUGUGGGUUAAAGUAGGGAAACUUACGCUUAUACCGCAUACGACCUACGUGUGACCUCAGGGGAUCUUCGGACUUUGCGCGAUUGAAUGUGCCGAUGUCGGAUUAGCUAGGUGGCGGGGUAAAGGCCCACCAAGGCGACCCUCCGUCGCUGGUAUGCGAGGGCGAUCGGCCACACGGGAACUGAGACCCGGUCCAGACACCUACGCGAGGCAGCAGUGGCGAAUAUUGGACAACGGGCGGAAGCCUGAGCCAGCCAUACCGCGUGAGCGAAGAAGGCCUUCUGGUUGUAAGGCACUUUUGUUGGGAAAGAAAAGCAGCAGCUUAAUACCCCGCUGUUCUGACGGUACCCAAAGAAUAAGCACCGGCUAACUUCGUG